rnacentral:rRNA from 1 species
UACGGGGGGAGCAAGCGUUGUUCGGAUUUACUGGGCGUAAAGGGCGUGUAGGCGGCCACCGCAAGUCAGUUGUGAAAUCUCUGGGCUUAACCCAGAAAGGUCAACUGAUACUGCGGGGCUAGAGUGCAGAAGGGGCAACUGGAAUUCUCGGUGUAGCGGUGAAAUGCGUAGAUAUCGAGAGGAACACCUGCGGCGAAGGCGGGUUGCUGGGCUGACACUGACGCUGAGGCGCGAAAGCUAGGGGAGCGAACGGG